GCUUACGGCCACACCGUUGGUUCAGGCCCGAUCUCGCUUUGAUCUCGGAAGCUAAGAUAGGUUGGGCCUGGUUUAGUACUUGGAUGGGAGACCGCCUGGGAAUACCAGGUGCUGUAAGCU
rnacentral:rRNA from 1 species